UCUCUCUCUCUCUCUCUCUCCCCGUUCCCUAACCCUCUCUCUCCCGAUCUCUGCUCCCGAUUCUCCUUUUUCCCUACCUCACCUGCUCCAUCUCUCUCAUUCUCCUCCCUCGAUCUCUCCAAUGCAGUCGUGAAUCUCCUCCCCAAAUCACAGCCCUUGCCCUUCUCAAAAUUGCAACCUCUGCUCAAAUCACCUACCCAAAUCGUAAUCCCAACUCGAUCUCACUGUCGCUGCCGUAGAGGAUAAAACCCCCUCAAACCUGCCUACCCCUGCUGCUCCAUCUUUCUCGUUCUCCUCCCUUUCUCUCCAAUAUCUCCGCCGUCUCUUCUAUCUCUCUCCAUUGCAGCAGCCGUGAAGAUCCUACCCGAAGAAACACACGCCAUUCGAAACCCUUCUCAUAUCUUUGAGGCAUAGGUGGAACUGUUAGUUAUCAUAUUACCAUGAUGCAGGCUUUACUGCUAUCAAUGGAUCAAUACCUCCAGGGUUUGUUUGUUCUCGCUCAUGUCCCAUCUGCAGAUGUGUAAAAAUUGCACCAAGUCGAUGAGAGAUGAUGGAGGAAUUAAUGUGAUCAAGAAAAGCCAUCAAGAAGCUAGGCUUGCGACACAAGGAACACAUUUCUGCAUAUGGAAAAGGCAAUGAAAGAAGAUUGACGGGUCGUCAUGAAACUACAGAUAUCCUCACAUUUUCUUGGGUAAAGAUAUUGGCCGGAGCGGUGUUUGGUUCAAAAUAAUUUGAUAUUGGCUGCUAUUCAUGGUGGUCCGCACUUGGUGAACAACCCCAAAAUGAGCCCUUCGCUGAUGAUAUUCCACAGUUUGAGGUCCCUAUUGCUGUGAUCCAUCCUGUUCCAAGUCCAGUAAGAAAUGAAAGUAUUUUUAUUUCUCUUGAUGUGGGCUCAUCUGUUCUGCAUUUUUCAGCUAAGACACAUCAUUCGUUCUCCUUCUUACAAUUAGGAUACAAAGAUACUCCAAAUAGUUAACACAUUUGCAUUGUAUAUCAUCCUAUACUUCAAUUUCAAGUGUAAAUAUGAAACUCAUGGCAUAUCAAUGUUGCAAGUGGUACAAUAGACCAGUCGGUGCCGUGUGUGAGGUUCCAAAGGGAGCCACAGGGGUCGUUUAAUGACUGAUGCUAUGCAUUUCAGCGGUUGGUAGUUUCUUUCCAGCUGGCAACCAAUCACAUCCAGAAAGCACUUAAAUUUUUAAUUGAUUGUUUUGUUUGCUUCUCCAACUGGAAAUUGGCACUGUUUAUGGUCAUCAAUCAUUAUAUAGCCCAUGUUGCAUGAGAAUGCCAUUAACACUUAAAGAAAGAAGGCAAAUGGAAUGCUUCAAUUGUGUCUACUUCCCUAACUGUCAAAAAAUGUUUGUGAAUGAAGAG